rnacentral:rRNA from 1 species
GUGGGGAAUCUUGCGCAAUGGGCGAAAGCCUGACGCAGCCAUGCCGCGUGAAUGAUGAAGGUCUUAGGAUUGUAAAAUUCUUUCACCGGGGACGAUAAUGACGGUACCCGGAGAAGAAGCUCCGGCUAACUUCGUGCCAGCAGCCGCGGUAAUACGAAGGGGGCUAGCGUUAUCCGGAAUCACUGGGUUUAAAGGGUACGUAGGCGGUUAAUUAAGUCAGUAGUGAAAGACUGUCGCUCAACGACGGAUGUGCUAUUGAUACUGGUUAACUUGAAUCAGGUUAGAGUUGGCGGAAUGGGUCAUGUAGCGGUGAAAUGCUUAGAUAUGACUUGGAACACCGAUAGCGAAGGCAGCUGACUGAGCCUUGAUUGACGCUGAGGUACGAAAGUGUGGGUAGCGAACAGGAUUAGAUACCCGGGUAGUCC